rnacentral:rRNA from 1 species
UACGUAGGGGGCAGGCGUUGUCCGGAUUUAUUGGGCGUAAAGAGCGUGUAGGCGGCCAGACAGGUCAGCUGUGAAAACUCGAGGCUCAACCUCGAGACGUCGGUUGAAACCGUCUGGCUAGAGUCCGGAAGAGGAGAGUGGAAUUCCCGGUGUAGCGGUGAAAUGCGCAGAUAUCGGGAAGAACACCCGUGGCGAAGGCGGCUCUCUGGGACGGUACUGACGCUGAGACGCGAAAGCGUGGGGAGCGAACAGG